UACAGAGGGGGCCAGCGUUAUUCGGAAUUACUGGGCGUAAAGGGCGCGUAGGCGGCCUUCUAAGUCAGACGUGAAAUCCCCCGGCUUAACCUGGGAACUGCGUCUGAUACUGGGAGGCUUGAGUAUGGGAGAGGGAUGUAGAAUUCCAGGUGUAGCGGUGAAAAUGCGUAGAUAUCUGGAGGAAUACCGGUGGCGAAGGCGGCAUCCUGGACCAUAACUGACGCUGAGGCGCGAAAGCUAGGGGAGCAAAACGGG
rnacentral:rRNA from 1 species